AUUGAACGCUGGCGGCGUGCCUAACACAUGCAAGUCGAGCGGUAACAGGUGUAGCAAUACAUGCUGACGAGCGGCGGACGGGUGAGUAACGCUUGGGAAUCUGCCUGUUAGUGGGGGACAACCCGGGGAAACUCGGGCUAAUACCGCAUACGCACUACGGUGGAAAGCCGGGGACCGCAGGGCCUGGCGCUAACAGAUGAGCCCAAGUCGGAUUAGCUAGUUGGUAGGGUAACGGCCACCAAGGCGACGAUCCGUAACUGGUCUGAGAGGACGACCAGUCACACCGGAACUGAGACACGGUCCGGACUCCUACGGGAGGCAGCAGUGGGGAAUAUUGGACAAUGGGCGAAAGCCUGAUCCAGCGACGCCGCGUGGGUGAAGAAGGCCUGCUGGUUGUAAAGCCCUUUCGGUGGGGAAGAAAAGCCUCGAGUUAAUACCUCGGGUCUUGACGUAACCCAUAGAAGAAGCACCGGCUAACUCUGUGCCAGCAGCCG
rnacentral:rRNA from 1 species